rnacentral:lncRNA from 1 species
UUUUAACCUGACAGUUUACAAGACAACAAUCAAAAGAUUUUGCUACCCGAACAAAUUACUCUACUUAAACGGACCAGUAUGCUCUCCUGAUUUCUCGUUGCAAGUAGAGAAGCAGCAAUUACCAAUUGUUAUAUGAUAGGACUCAAUCUGAUAUCGACAUGACAAUAAGGUAAAGAACUUUCAAAAGAUAUCUGUCAGCCGGGUAGACAUGUACACUUUACAAUCAUUCCAUACACCAAAUAAAGUUAACCUAGCCAAAAGGCUCUGAGAUACGAACUUGACCACAGAAACUUAAUUUUGUGCAUUGAUCCAUGAAACAAAGUCAAGGUCAGGUGAGGGGAGACAUGUUGAGUUUUUUAUGGUUCAUCAACUGCUUAAAAAAGAUUGUCAUGUGAAAAUAAACUCAUCAUAGACACCAGGACCAAACUUUGUAUAUACGCCUGACGCACGCCUCGUCCACUAAAGACUCACCAGUGACGCUCGAAUCCAAAAAAGUUUUAAAGGCCAAACAAAGUACGAAGUUGAAGAGCACCGAAGACCAAAAUUCCUAAAACUUUUUGCCAAACACAGCUAAGGUAAUCUAUGCCCGAGGCAGAAAAGCCC